CAGCCGCCGCGGUAAUGCGUAGGUGGCAAGCGUUGUCCGGAAUUAUUGGGCGUAAAGCGCGCGCAGGCGGAUCAGUUAGUCUGUCUUAAAAGUUCGGGGCUUAACCCCGUGAGGGGAUGGAAACUGCUGAUCUAGAGUAUCGGAGAGGAAAGUGGAAUUCCUAGUGUAGCGGUGAAAUGCGUAGAUAUUAGGAAGAACACUAGUGGCGAAGGCGACUUUCUGGACGAAAACUGACGCUGAGGCGCGAAAGCCAGGGGAGCGAACGGGAUUAGAUACCCGCGUAGUCCCUGUCUCUUAUACA
rnacentral:rRNA from 1 species